rnacentral:rRNA from 1 species
UGCCAGACUCCUACGGGAGGCAGCAGUGAGGAAUAUUGGUCAAUGGGCGAGAGCCUGAACCAGCCAAGUCGCGUGAGGGAGUACUGCCCUAUGGGUUGUAAACCUCUUUUGUCGGGGAGCAAAAGCCGGACGUGUCCGUCUGUGAGAGUACCCGAAGAAAAAGCAUCGGCUAACUCCGUGCCAGCAGCCGCGGUAAUACGGAGGAUGCGAGCGUUAUCCGGAUUUAUUGGGUUUAAAGGGUGCGCAGGCGGAUUUUUAAGUCAGCGGUCAAAUCGUGGGGCUCAACCCCGGCCUGCCGUUGAAACUGGCGGCCUCGAGUGGGCGAGAAGUAUGCGGAAUGCGUGGUGUAGCGGUGAGAUGCAUAGAUAUCACGCAGAACUCCGAUUGCGAAGGCAGCAUACCGGCGCCCGACUGACGCUGAGGCACGAAAGCGUGGGUAUCGAACAGGAUUAGAUACCCCCGUAA